GAAAACAAGAAGCGGAGAAGGAAGGAAAACAUUAAAAAGGAUAACAUUCAGUAACAUCCAGGGCCAUGUAGUGUUGGGGCAAAAUGUCUUAUAAAUCUUAGGAGGCCUUCAGAGCAUUACAGGGUAUAUAAUUUAUACUUUUUUUUAUAAGUGUCUAAUUUUUUGAGAAGAGUUAAGUCUUUAUUUGGUAUUACACUUUGGCGUAUAAUGUGAAAUAUUCUUUAUUUGAUUUUUAUUAGAUUUUGUUAUUUAUAAGUUUUUUUUUUUUUUUUUUUUGAGACAGAGUCUUGCUCUGUCGCCAGGCUGGAGCACAGUGGCGCAGUCUCAGC